CGGGACGGGUGAGUAAUGUCUGGGAAACUGCCUGAUGAGGGGGAGUAACUACUGGAAACGGUAGCUAAUACCGCAUAACGUCGCAAGACCAAAGAGGGGGACCUUCGGGCCUCCUGCCAUCGGAUGUGCCCAGAUGGGAUUAGCUAGUAGGUGGGGUAACGGCUCACCUAGGCGACGAUCCCUAGCUGGUCUGAGAGGAUGACCAGCCACACUGGAACUGAGACACGGUCCAG
rnacentral:rRNA from 1 species